rnacentral:miRNA from 1 species
CAGGUCAUAUAAGUGUGGAGUU